GACGAACGCUGGCGGCGUGCCUAAUACAUGCAAGUAGAACGCACAGUUUAUACCGUAGCUUGCUACACCAUAGACUGUGAGUUGCGAACGGGUGAGUAACGCGUAGGUAACCUGCCUGGUACCGGGGGAUAACUAUUGGAAACGAUAGCUAAUACCGCAUAAUAUUAAUUAUUGCAUGAUAAUUAAUUGAAAGGUGCAAUUGCACCACUACCAGAUGGACCUGCGUUGUAUUAGCUAGUAGGUGAGGUAACGGCUCACCUAGGCGACGAUACAUAGCCGACCUGAGAGGGUGAUCGGCCACACUGGGACUGAGACACGGCCCAGACUCCUACGGGAGGCAGCAGUAGGGAAUCUUCGGCAAUAGACGAAAGUCUGACCGAGCAACGCCGCGUGAGUGAAGAAGGUUUUCGGAUCGUAAAGCUCUGUUGUAAGAGAAGAACGGGUGUGAGAGUGGAAAGUUCACACUGUGACGGUAUCUUACCAGAAAGGGACGGCUAACUACGUG
rnacentral:rRNA from 1 species